CAAAUGACAAAUGUGGAAAGAUUGCAUUGUCGGUGGAACGUCGACCACAGAUUGUAACUUUAACUUCACGGCGGUGCACAAGAAGGAAGAGGGCAACCAGGCGUAUGUGUGUGGGACCAACGGCAGGGAGACUUUGUGCGGUGAAGUUAUUCUAUCAGAUCCUUCUCCCGUGUGCCGUACCUCUGAAAAAAUGAGGAGCAUACAAGGAAGUAUCAGAAAAUUCAUCAUGAAGGAAGGUGAACCGUCUGUUUUUGUGGGUGGGUUUUGACGGAUUACUUUAUUUCCUGCAUGUGUGUCUUUGCUUCCUGAUUAGCUGGUUUGUCGUCAGGGGGUACUUUUCCUUUCCUUUACAUAUUUGCUGAACAUUUACGCUCUUUUAAACGUUAGAGUCAGUAGAAAUGUUUGUUUUCUUGUAAACACAACAUUUAAACUGGGCCCCUCCUCCUGGGC